rnacentral:lncRNA from 1 species
AUGGCCUCCCCGAGGCCACACAGGCAGCCGUGGAAAGAAUUCUGGAGUCGAGUCAACGUGGCUCCGCCACCUGCCGCCUUCGGGCUGGUGACCUUGGGUGAGUGGCUGAGACUCCUGUGGCCUCAACUUAAGCUCUCCUGUGCUGGAAGCCUUCUGUUUGCCCUCCAGACCGCUCCCCACUUUCCCUCCCCCUCCCCCCACCUCUUCUCUGCCUGGCCCGGGAGGCGGCCUCUGGCUUGCUGGCUUGUGGCACUACCGGGGGCUCCAAAGGUGGCCAGAGCAGGUAGGACUUGGGCUCCCCAGCUCUUUCCCUGCCAGGGUGUGGCUUGGCUUUAACUACCAUUGUCACUUUCUCCAUGGUCACCUCC